rnacentral:lncRNA from 1 species
UCUGCUGGUAGAUAUCGAUCCUAUCAGGAAGCUCGCCACUCUCAAUAUCUCUCUGCAAUUUGAAAAUUAUUAAAAAAAAUUAAAUAAUUAAAAUAUAUCAUAAUUAAAAAUUUAAAAAAUAUGUACCAUGUGCUCCAUGUGGCGAGCAAAUGAUCUCGAACCCUCACAAUGUGGCAUAAUCUGUCUCGCCCGAUUUGUCGCAUUCUAGGCACAUCAUCUCUGUAAAAUUAACAGUAAAAUUAGUAGAUAAUAAGUAUAAUUUAAAAAUAAAUGAUUAGAUCAUUAAAAUCUAAAAAAAAAAUUUAGAUGUGUAACCUGAUAUGCCGGAUACUCGUAAUGCCGGUAUAUGGUAGUCCAAUCAUCGAUGGUGAUGCUAUCGUAGGGCUGCAGCCACGCUGCCUCUUGCCCAUGAGCCUGCACCACUCGG